AACCCAUGUUGAGGACAUUUUCGUAGGAGUUCCAUGAACCUAUCCUAUGUCUCAAAUAGAGAAUCCAAUUCUAUUUGAACAAAAGAUUAUAUUUCAUUCCUACGCUU